rnacentral:snRNA from 1 species
GGGACAGCGCGCAGGCCCAGAGUUCAGGCCCUAUGACCGGACCCUCCCCCCCACAAAAAAACUGCAAUAAUACAGAUUAGCAUGGCCCCUAUACAAGGAUCACAUACAAAUUCAUGAAGCAUUCCAUAUAUUU